rnacentral:tRNA from 1 species
UUUUAGGUGGCCGAGGCUAGGCUCUGGACUUUUAAUCCAGCUACGGUUUUUAACCCCUAACUU